ensembl:lncRNA
UGGCAACAAAUGCGUCCUACUUUGCCCUGAAUUCUAAGGAUGGUCCGAUGUAUCCUUCGUGUCCUACUAUAUCCCAGGAUUCAUUGCGGGUCAUAGAGGAGAUUUGUUUCUGAUAACGAUGGUGGUCGAAGCAGGAGAGGAAAACACUUUCAAAUGACAAUUCUGGAGAAGAUGGGCCUGCAGGGGAAAGUCACCCCCUUGCAGGCCAGAAGACAUGAGAUAACUUUAAAGAAGACAAAGAUUGCAAGUAUCCAGGCUCAGGAGAGGGGGUCAGUGGGAAGCCCACUGCUGCUGCUUGGCCCUGGUUUGCCCUCAUGGAUGAGGUGAUAGGACAGAUGCCUUCCAUUAAGCCUCCUGUCCUAAUUUCCUCUCUCCCUGAGGACACUCCAGGGCCAAGCACAGCAGUGGGUGACCAAAACGACAGCGAUGACGAGGCGAGUCAGCCACCUACGACAGGGAGAAAGAGGAAAAGAGACGGGGAUGAUGAGCUG